CUUUGUUUAAAAGCAGCUCAAUCUAGGACCCUGAGGAGAUAGGUUGGAGGGAAGGGGAGGAGCUCAGAAAAUGGAGGGAAAAAGUGGAAAGUAGAAGGGCGUGGCUGGUCAGGUAGAGAGAGGGCACAAUUGACGGAACUAGGAAGCUGUUUCUUAGAGGCCUAGUUUUAUCUCUGUCUCUAAAGUAGCAGAUCGGUCAGAAGGUCUUGAGAAAAGAUCUGUGAACAAAAGGUUGAAGAACUUUUGUUUGUGUGGAUUAUUGGAUUCUUGGGAUUACAUGAUUGUUUGAUUCAAUGGGCCUGUUUUCUGUGUUUGUUUGACGCUCAUCGUGGGACCCUACUAAUGGCAGAGACUUGGGCACAAAAAACAUGCUCUCAGACAGGCAUAAAAAGCCUGAAACACCUACCUUUCACUCUCACGCAACAUGGAGAUGAAAUCACCAACUGGGAACUGGGAGCUAUUUAGUUCUAGCAGGGAUACAUUUCCAUAUUAUUUCACAUAAAGAUGUCUAAUUUCAAGACUCUUCGAUGGCCUACCGCAAGAUGAUGCUUGCCAAAUCAUAAUAUGCACAUUGGCAUUGUGGGUAAUGAGAUCUGUGUCCUGAAUUCAGCUGCAGGUCCAGCUAAUGCAGUGUGAAUAGCAUUGCCAUCUGGCUUUUCAGGGUUUGAAUGGCACAGCAAGAAGCCUUCAUCAGAGCACAGCCAAAUGCCAGAGAGUCUUCAUCAGAACACAGCCCAAUGCCUGAGAGUCUUCAUCAGAACACAGCCCAGUGCCAGAGAAGCACAGCCGAAUGCCUGAGAGUCUUCAUCAGAGCACAGCCCAAUGCCUGAGAGUCUUCAUCAGAGCACAGCCCAGUGCCAGAGAAGCACAGCCCAAUGCCUGAGGGUCUUCAUCAGAACACAGCCCGAUGCCUGAGAGUCUUCAUCAGAGCACAGACCAAUGCCUGGCUUAGGAUAUAUAGACAAUUGACAAAUUGACAAUUCUGAGUUGUCAAUUAUCAGUUAUGCCAAGUCAAUAGUCCCUUGUCAAUUAAAAACAUCUACUACAUAGGUGACAAUAAGAAGAUCUGGUUCUGACCUAUUAACACACAAGGCCGGAUAUCUACUGCAAUAUAAUAAUUAAACCAUGAAGAUAGGUUAUCAUUGUGCAGUCAUACGGGAUACCAAUCACACAUUACUGCCAAGGUUAUAAUAUUAACAGCUCAACAUAUAAAACAGUUCAUACACAUAUGAAUGGGUCACAAUUCAUAUAAAAAUGGUCUGAAAUCAAUUUAAUCAUUUAAACUAAGAUUUGCAUAGCUUUAAAUUUAUGAAUCCAGAAAGUCUCUGUUUGUCAGAGUCAAAUGUAUCAAUAUAUCUCCACCCCAGAUUUGUUUGUUUAUUACUGUAAUACCUUCCACUUUUUGUAAUUCUGAAUUCAUAUGUUUUUAAAAUAUCUUACCAUUGGAUAAUCUAUGUCACGUGUUCUAAUAGCAUACUUGUGUUCUGCAGUCCUCUCCUUUAGUUUUCUUGCUGUUCUGCCUACAUGAAACUAGUUGCACGGUUAUAAGCCAGUUGGGCAGCAGUGUAGUAUUCUGGGUAUGGAGCUGGCCUAUGUAAAUGCUAUGUAAAAAGUUGUGUAAGUCACUGGAUAAAUGUCUUUUAAAUGCCUGUGAUGUAAUGUACUAAGUGGUAAACUACACAGUUGGUAUUGCAGUUAAUAAAGGAAAGCAUAUUAAAAAA